UGCUAAGCUCUCCUGGGACUCUGAUGUCUUCAGGAUGACCUAACCACACCGCCCUGUGCUUCAUCCUGGAGCUUGUCAGUCAGGAGGAAGAGCGGUUGCAGCAGACUGGCAAAGAGGUUUUAAGAAGUUGAGUUACUUACCCAAUUUCCCACCAACCUCUUGACCAAAUUGGGAAGGAACAUCCGUUGAGAAUUUCAAAUGUACAGGCUAUCUGCAAGUAUUUUCCACAGCGCAUGAGCCAAGUGCCAACCUGGAACCUGGCGUGUUGGGAACACCUUCUUUCUCCUCCAAAGACAAAGUGGGGGCCCCUGACACCUGCUCCAGGAGAACAGGCACCAGGGCUGGAAAUGCAUGCAUUCUGCCUUCCUCCCAGAAAGAACAGCUUAGCACAGCAGCCCUUCUCCCCUCGGCUGAGGAUGAGGAGAAGGAAGAUGCCUCCAUCACUACUCUGACAUGAACCAGAUACUCAGGUCUGUGUUAGUCUUGUUUCUAAAUAUGAGGAAGUACUCACAACAGCUGAGAUUAUGUAAGGUUUACAUUUUAACUUCAAAUAAAUACGUUCCACUGUAAGGCUGGAGA